UGAAAGAAAAGUUUAAUUUUAUUUAAUAGUAUAUCUCAAAGCAAGUAUUUAUAGUUGUGUAUCCUUUAUCUACAAGGUACUAAAGAUUUCAGAGGUUUUUAAGAGAUAAUAUUUAUUUUUGAGCUAUGUUACAUAUGUUAGUAUGAAAGAAUGAAAAUGCUAUACCAUCACUUACAUUACUUAUCACAAUAUCUCUGAUAUUUUAUUCAGACUUAUUUUUAGUGCAUUGUGGUAUAUAGUGCAAGGAUGAUUUUGCAGGCUUCAUAUGGUUAUAUCACUGAAAAAAUAUAUUGUGAAAUUUAUAUUGUGAAAGUCAUCAACAUUCAAUUCCAGCAUGAUAAGUUUUCCUCUUCAGGUUCAUUUUUAGAUCUAAUCUUUAUUUUUGUUCUUUUGAUAUUCUAUGGUACUUAGUCUUCUUAACAGCUAUGUUGUUUGUAUCUCACCAUCCUUUAUAUAUGUGGCCCUUAGAUAUAGUCCCUUGAAAACUUGUACUCAUAAUCUUUCUUGUUCUAGAGCAUGACAUAGAGGGUUCUUUUGAGCUGAGAAGCAAAACAGGAAAAAGUGAACAGGAUUCCAGAUCCUUCCAAUUCAGAUAUUCUAUAUGACAGUCUGAACAUUUGUAGCAAAGUUACAAUUUGAAACAAAGUGUAUCUGAGGCAAAAAUAAAUAGUGGUGGUUUUUCUGUACAUUUGGGUUAUGCAUAUCUUUAUACGUGUAAUGAUGACACUUUCUAUUUUAUGUGUGAUGACGAGUUUUAUUAUGCAAAAAUAGAUCGUUCUAGUAUAAAGUGAAUUUGAUUCAGUUUGGUGUUCUGUGUGCAGCUUAACUCACAACUCAAAGUCUUUGAGAUUUUUCACUCAGGAAACGUAACAGACUUAUACCACACUAUUUUUUUUUUAAAUUUUUUUUAGCUAUAGACGGACACAAUACCUUUAUUUUUAUGUGGUGCUGAGGAUUGAACCCAGGGCCCUCACACAUGCCAGGCGGGUGAUUUGCCUGUGAGACACAACCCCAACCCUACAUGUGGUCUUUUAAGGACAGAUGCCAUAAUUUACUCAUCUUGGUGGCUAUGGUAUUAGUAUGAUAUUUGUCACUCAGGAGGGAUUCAAUAAAUGUUGUUGUCAAGCUGUUUUUCAAGUGUAUCUGAGGAAUAUGACUUUAAUUUUUGCUUUUUAGCCUAAACAUUUCCUUAUUUUCAGCUAACUCUGGUUCAGAUUUAGUAUUGUGAAAAUUAUUACCUGUUUUAGACUUUUUCUGUAAUUUUCCAAGACCCAAACAUUUUUACACAAGCUUAUGAUCUUUUAUCCUUUUAGAUACUUAAUGAAAUUCUAUCAUGGCAGAAGUUCAAUAAAAAAGUAUAUUUAUUGUGAUUCAGAAAAGAAAUAUAUCAGACAUCAUCUAUCAAUGGUAAAGCAAAUCUACUACAAUCAAUUCAGGAUAUUGUGCUGAAUAGAGUACACAGAAUUAUAUUACCUACUGAUUCAAAGAUGAAACCCAAAUUUCAUAUCCUAUAUGAUUCCUAUCUGGAUAUUAGGACAAACAAACCACAGUCCUUUUUGCACCUUGUAGAUUGCAGUUGAGAUUUUGAACAUUUCAUAUGAGCUUUUUAAUUCUUAAAAGUUCAUGAAAUUUAACAUCAUUAAAAAUGUUCUGUUAAUUUUACCUCAUCUGAGUUAUUUAGAAAACAAUUCUAGUUAAAUAUUUUAAUAUUAAUGAUAUUCAUAGCUCUUCUAGAAAGUAAAAAAGAUAAUUGGACUGUAAACAAUAUUAAAGGCAAUAUCAUGUAAACCACAUAUUGGACACGUGUUUUUUCCCUGAAUAAUAG
rnacentral:lncRNA from 1 species